rnacentral:lncRNA from 1 species
AUAUAACAGAAACAAAAUUUUCUAAAAAGGAAACAAUGCAUAAACGAAGGCUUAAACGAAAGAAUUUGCCCAAAAUUGGCUCCACAUCAGCAACAAAGCUGCUUUUCUUGCUGAGUUUUGUUCAUUGUCACGUUUGCAAUCAAAUUCGACUAAAAUUUCACCAAAAAUGGAUACCCUCAAAAUUUCUCUAAAAACUGAGAAAUUGGAGAUGUUAGUUUAAAGAAAUGAGAAAAAGAAAAAAAGAGCACUAACCAUGCAACACAGAAAGUGCUUUGUGCGUGCACUCUCCGCGCAGCGUAGAGAGGCAUGCCUCUCCGUAUUGCUCUAAAUGUUACAAAAAGGUCAUCGAUUAACAUAGAGAAGGUCAUGUCACGGCAUAGAAAUAGCAAUGUAAUUUGUGAUGAAUUCGAUUGCAAACUAUGUGCAAAAAAUCGAAACUGGAUAUAAAUAAAUUCAACGUCAUCUAAUAACGAGUUAGUUAUACAGUUUAAUAUUUAAUUAAAAUCAUGUUGGUGGAUGAUAGAAGAUAAAUGCUUAUAUAAAUUUCAGCACCUCUCCAAAGAUCCAUUCCACAAUCAAAUGCAGUUACAAAAAGUAGAUAAUAUCAUUGUUUUAACAAAUUACUUUGGAAUCAAAAUCUUUUGCUUAAUUUAAGUAAGAAUAUUCGUUGAAUGAUAGAUGCUAGAAAAUUUUAGAAGCUGAGUAAUGAGCUCACACCACCAUUCAGAUCUGCACAUCAGGUAAAAAGAAUCAACACUCAUGUGCAAAAACACAAAAAUGGGGAUUGUUACAAAAUGAACAAGAAAAAUUUAUAUGCAGAGCUCUGAGCCUUGUAUAACAGAAAAUUAAUGUAAGACCAUUAGUAGACUAUUUUAUAAUGCUCCAAAAAUUACACAUAUGUUCCAAUAUUAUUUGACACUAAAAAAUUAAGAAGUGCUAUGCGCCUUAUUUAACAAGAACAUAGCAUAAGAUGCUCUUGUGAACUCUCGACCUUCUAUAAAGAGAGAGAAUUCUACCGGCUUCAAACUUGUCAAACUUAUUGAAGAAGAGUCUGAAUUGGACAUUGAAUGAUCAAUUACAGGUGCAUAAUCAUGUAUAUAUGAUCGAGAACUCCUAGUUGUAAAGGAUAACACAAAGGAACUUGUAGAUAGGAUGCGAUGAGUGAGACAGCCUGCGUAAAUAACAAGCCAUCAUGACUAAUAGAUAUUAAAUUACAAUUAUUGCUCUAGUAAUUGGCUAAUGCCUACAAUAAUGCAAUAAUCAAUAAAGGUCACUGAAAUCCAAAACAAGUGUAAACUAAUUGCCUAGUUGAUGACAAAAGUGAUAACGCAUAAUUACUCCCCUAUUUAUUUUAGAUGUCCUAUCACAAUUCAUGCAACUAAAGCAUAUUACACUUGAAAAUAUACAUAAGUUCAUAAAAUUAUGCCAAGCAAAGAGGAAACUCAUCUUUGUAAAAGGGAUCACAAUGAGAUGCAGAUCUGAGAUGGUUAAAGAGCCUCGAUCAAUAGGUUUUGAUCCAUAAUGAACAUCUGCAAGUAGUGGCAAAAAAAAACAAUAGAAUAGAGAUUAAUCAAAAUAAACCAAUCAAUUAAAGAGUUCUAAGCUGUAAUAAUUAUGGUAAUAAUCAAAACCAUCAAUUGCAGCUGGAAUCUUUUAUAUAAAGCAGAGUUAGCAUAUGAUGUUUGCAGUCAUACAUUGCUUAUAUCAACUUGGAUAUGAAUCCAGCAUAUACAUAUAAUCAAAUUAAUAUCAAUAAGUAGAGAGGUAAUGAGAGAGCUCUAUUUUUUUAUUUAUAAGAACGAACAUCUGGUUAAUAUCUAACAAAUGCAGUCGGCAAAAAAACUCAGAAAAAGACUUGAAAAGAAUAAAAAAACAGUAAAGGGAUGAAAAAAUCAAAAAUAUGAACUGGUGAAAAUCGAAUUCUUUAGUGAAUGGAACAUCAAGUUUAGCCUUACAAGCCUGCAUUCCAUCAGUAGACCCAUACAAUCCAUGAGCUCCAUUAUUUUUUCUUACAUUUAUAAGCAUGUAUAUCUAGUUAAUACCUAAGAAAUGAAGUGUUGGCAAAAAAAAAAACCCAAGAAAAAGAACUUAAAAAAUUAAAGGGAUGAAAAAAUCAAGUGAAAAUCGAGUUCUUUAGUGAGUGGAACGCCGAGUUUAGCCAUACAACCCUGAAUUCUAUCAUCAGACCCAUAUAAUCCAGGAGCUCCGCACUGCACAGAGACCUCUCUGUAUUGGUCUCUGCGCAGCGCAAAGACUAGAAAUAUUCUGAAAUGUUUUCUUCGCCUUUCCUCUCUGAUUCCACAAUUUCCCCCACUUUCUUUGAAUUUAUGGCCAGCUUGUUAAAUUUGAUAGUGUAUCUUUUUAAACUUGUUAGUUUGAGCUGCUAUAAUUUAAUAUAGGCUCUGAUAGAAGCAAAAUUUGAGGUCUGCCUUGAAGGUUAACUUUGAGAGGGGCAAUAAGUCAUUCAAGACAACUUUUCCUUAUUUCGGAUUUUUCAAAAUUCAAGAGAUUACAUGGCUAUUUAUCGAUUCUUUUAUACAUAAACAUAGCAAAUACUAAAUUUUUCUUCCUUAGUGAUUCAAAUUACAUUUUCAUGCUCCAAUUCAGAGUCCAAUUCCACGCUACUAUAUUUUAACUUUAAAAAAAAAUCAUCAACCAAACAGAAUGGAAAAACAAAGCCCAAAUCUCUCAAGGGUGUAAAAAUAUGGAUGGAAAAUAGAAAAAUAACUAAAAGGCAUUAUGUUACCGAUUGGGGCAGUGAGAGGACAUCGUUUUCAAAGGCCAUGGGACCAGUUCAGUGAAGGAUGUGUCCAGCUCAAAAGAAACCGACAAAUGCCACUUUAUCAUGGGGAUUCCGGAAGCUCGGUCGUGCCACCUUAAUCACCACCAUAGCAGAUGCUCCGUCACCAUAUUUGGCUCUUGUGUGUGAGAGAACGAUGGUGGGUGGGGGACUAGUAUGGUAAUUGAUUAAGUGUAAAGACUUGAGAUGGAUAGUUUUUGAGUUUGAGUGUGAAAAUGGAU